rnacentral:rRNA from 1 species
UACGUAGGGACCUAGCGUUGUCCGGAAUCAUUGGGCGUAAAGCGCGCGUAGGCGGCCCGGUAAGUCCGUUGUAAAAGUCGAAGGCUCAACCUUCGAAAGCCGAUGGAUACUGCCGGGCUAGAGUACGGAAGAGGCGAGUAGAAUUCCUGGUGUAGCGGUGGAAUGCGCAGAUAUCAGGAGGAACACCAAUGGCGAAGGCAGCUCGCUGGGACGGUACUGACGCUGAGACGCGAAAGCGUGGGGAGCGAACAGG